UGGGGAAUAUUGGGCAAUGGGCGCAAGCCUGACCCAGCAACGCCGCGUGAGGGAAGAAGGUUUUCGGAUUGUAAACCUCUGUCCUUGGGGACGAAAAAAAUGACGGUACCCAAGGAGGAAGCUCCGGCUAACUACGUGCCAGCAGCCGCGGUAAUACGUAGGGAGCAAGCGUUGUCCGGAAUUACUGGGCGUAAAGGGUGCGUAGGCGUCAAGGCAAGUCAGAUGUGAAAUCCCCGGGCUUAACUCGGGGGGUGCAUUUGAAACUGCUUUGCUUGAGUGCAGGAGAGGAAAGCGGAAUUCCUAGUGUAGCGGUGAAAUGCGUAGAUAUUAGGAGGAACACCAGUGGCGAAGGCGGCUUUCUGGACUGCAACUGACGCUGAGGCACGAAAGCGUGGGGAGCAAACA
rnacentral:rRNA from 1 species